UACGGAGGGUGCAAGCGUUAUCCGGAUUUACUGGGUUUAAAGGGUGUGUAGGCGGACUUUUAAGUCAGCGGUGAAAUCUCCGGGCUCAACCCGGAAACUGCCAUUGAUACUAUUGGUCUUGAAUGUUGUUGAGGUGGGCGGAACGGGUCAUGUAGCGGUGAAAUGCAUAGAUAUGACCCGGAACACCGAUUGCGAAGGCAGCCCACUAAGCAACGAUCGACGCUGAGGCACGAAAGCGUGGGGAUCAAACAGG
rnacentral:rRNA from 1 species